rnacentral:rRNA from 1 species
AGAGUUUGAUCCUGGCUCAGAACGAACGCUGGCGGCGUGGAUAAGACAUGCAAGUCGAGCGCUGAUUACAGGGUAGCAAUAUUCUGUGGUCGGAGCGGCGCAAGGGUGCGUAACACGUGGGUAAUCUGCCAUGAAGUCCGGGAUAACUUGCUGAAAGGCGAGCUAAUACCGGAUGUGAAAUUUGGAGGGCAUCCUCUGAA